UACAGAGGGGGCAAGCGUUAUUCGGAAUUAUUGGGCGUAAAGGGCGCGUAGGCGGCUUGGCAAGUGGAAGGUGAAAUCCCUCGGCUUAACCGAGGAACUGCCCUCCAAACUGCUUUGCUUGAGGCCGGGAGAGGUGAGUGGAAUUCCCAGUGUAGCGGUGAAAUGCGUAGAUAUUGGGAGGAACACCAGUGGCGAAGGCGGCUCACUGGCUCGUAACUGACGCUCAUGCACGACAGCGUGGGGAUCAAACAGG
rnacentral:rRNA from 1 species